CUGACUACCAGUGGGGAAGAUUCUCUUCUGGAGAUCCACUCUGCUGGAUUUUCACUUAGCGAGCCCAGGGUACAGAUCCAGACUCAAGAAGAGCUUGGAUGGAGAGUUUACAGUCAAGAAGUCUCUUGCUUUGGCGUGACACUCAAGCAUUGGUGAAAUACUGACAGAAAUGGAUCCUGCCUGACUUGUAUCAGAGAAGUCCUGACUGAAGGAAUAUGGGAGAUCUCUCUGAAACCCAUUGCUGGGUCUUCUCACUGAGAAAAAUUACACCCAUACAACUGGCAAAAGGUAAACUUGAAAUUACUGUUGCUAUGUGAUCGCUUCCAAAAUGACUCUUGAAAAGAUGCCACAGCUACCAAGAUGAUGCUUCAGAAAUACUGAACGUUUUCUGCAGACUCUUCCAGAUUUUACUAACAUACCUCAGUGAGCUGAGCUGUAUGCCAGUCUUCCUGAAUUUGAGAACUGAUCAAUAAUGAAGACAAGUAUUCUGUGUAAUGAGUAAUAAGUAGAAAUCACAGUUGCAUCAAAUAAAAUCAUCUGGAGAAGAGCAGUUAGGGAGAAGGUAUAUUGGGCAAGUUUCUUGUCUCUAAGUCAUAUUCCUUUCAAUUUUGUGCUUUAUAAUCCUGCUAAACUGUUCUUUUGUCUAAGCACCAGCCAGGUACAGCAAAAGAAAAUAUAAGAUGACAGCACUUCUAAACCUCGAGCUAAAAUGACAACUGCAAAAGGACCAGAAAGAAAGUGCAGUUUCUACAAGAAAAUCCCUGUCAUGUCUGCUAAUUAAUGCCUCUGGCAUGCAGACCCCUGUCCGUAUCAUAUUAGGCUGAAGCUAAAGCUGUCAGCUCAUUCAGGGCAAGUCAUCACAAAGGUUAUGAGACUAUAAUAUUCCCUGCACUUCUGUCAUGCUGUUUGCAAUCCAUGAUAGUAAAGCCUGAGUGGGGAAAUUACGAAAAAAGAGUUGGAAAACAAGAGAACAAAAAAGCAAAAUAGCAUAGCAGUAAGAAGUAACAAGAAACACAUGAAAAUGAAAACUACCUUCAUGUAUGUCAAUAUUUGCCAUCUCUAGCAGCAUGACCUCCAGAACAAAGACGACGGGUUCCCUGCUGCCUGGUGACAGAAACAAAAACAAACACUUCCUACACCCCAAGUCUGGCCGCAGAGCUUGCAAGUAAUCUC